AAAGGAGCCAAACUGGUUACAGAAACUGGGUUAAGAGACUCAUGAGACAUUGGAACAGGCUGUCCAGAGAAGAAGCUGUGGAUAAGGCAGGCCUGGAAGUCUUCAAGACAGGUCCUCAGAAGCCUUGCCAAAAAUAUCCUAAGUCCAAAGUUAUUUUUAAAAGGUGCGAAAGUCAAGAAAAAUCCAAGUGAAUCCAAGAGAAUGCCUCUAUCAAUAUCUUCCAGACUGGAAAUCACCUUUGAGGGACUUCAGCAGUGCUCCAUGGGCAGGUAUGUAAGGAUGUAGCUUAUAGGACCAUUGAGGUUGCUUUGAGACAUGUUGGGUAGAUCGCUGCUUUGGUUCCCAGAAGUCAUCAAUGAAAGGGCAACUCAAACACAUUAAAGAAUCCUUCUGAAAAACCAUAGUUUUGAAGCCCCCUGAAAAAACAAUAUGGUGAUCUGUUUUGAAUUUUGUUUACCUUUAAUAUGCUUGGAGUACUUUGGGUAGAUGGUGCACCCUUCAUGCUCUACCUGCUCACCUUAUAAAGACAUGGACUA